GGAAGUAAAAGUCGUAACAAAGUCUCCGUAGGUGAACCUGCGGAGGGAUCAUUACAGAGUUCGUGCCCUCACGGGUAGAUCUCCCACCCUGUGUUAUUAUACCUUUGUUGCUUUGGCGGGCCGCCCUCGGCUACCGGCCCCGGCUGGUACGCGCCCGCCAGAGGACCCCAAACUCUGAAUGUUAGUGUCGUCUGAGUACUAUACAAUAGUUAAAACUUUCAACAACGGAUCUCUUGGUUCUG
rnacentral:misc_RNA from 1 species